rnacentral:rRNA from 1 species
UACGUAGGGUGCAGGCGUUAAUCGGAAUUACUGGGCGUAAAGCGUGCGCAGGCGGCUCCUUAAGUCAGAUGUGAAAUCCCCGGGCUUAACCUGGGAACUGCGUUUGAAACUGGGGAGCUGGAGUGUAGAAGAGGGGGGUGGAAUUCCAGGUGUAGCAGUGAAAUGCGUAGAGAUCUGGAGGAACACCGAUGGCGAAGGCAGCCCCCUGGGCUAACACUGACGCUCAUGGUCGAAAGCGUGGGGAGCAAACAGG